CGUACAAGCAGUGGGAGCACCCUUUGGGGUGUGACUGCGUACCUUUUGUAUAAUGGGUCAGCGACUUAUAUUCUGUAGCAAGGUUAACCGAAUAGGGGAGCCGGAGGGAAACCGAGUCUUAAUUGGGCGUUAAGUUGCAGGGUAUAGACCCGAAACCCGGUGAUCUAGCCAUGGGCAGGUUGAAGGUUGGGUAACACUAACUGGAGGACCGAACCGACUAAUGUUGAAAAAUUAGCGGAUGACCUGUGGCUGGGGGUGAAAGGCCAAUCAAACCGGGAGAUAGCUGGUUCUCCCCGAAAGCUAUUUAGGUAGCGCCUCGUGAAUUCAUCUCCGGGGGUAGAGCACUGUUUCGGCUAGGGGGCCAUCCCGGCUUACCAACCCGAUGCAAACUGCGAAUACCGGAGAAUGUUAUCACGGGAGACACACGGCGGGUGCUAACGUCCGUCGUGAAGAGGGAAACAACCCAGACCGCCAGCUAAGGUCCCAAAGUCAUGGUUAAGUGGGAAACGAUGUGGGAAGGCCCAGACAGCCAGGAUGUUGGCUUAGAAGCAGCCAUCAUUUAAAGAAAGCGUAAUAGCUCACUGGUCGAGUCGGCCUGCGCGGAAGAUGUAACGGGGCUAAACCAUGCACCGAAGCUGCGGCAGCGACACUCAGGUGUUGUUGGGUAGGGGAGCGUUCUGUAAGCCUGUGAAGGUGGCCUGUGAGGGUUGCUGGAGGUAUCAGAAGUGCGAAUGCUGACAUAAGUAACGAUAAAGCGGGUGAAAAGCCCGCUCGCCGGAAGACCAAGGGUUCCUGUCCAACGUUAAUCGGGGCAGGGUGAGUCGACCCCUAAGGCGAGGCCGAAAGGCGUAGUCGAUGGGAAACGGGUUAAUAUUCCCGUACUUGGUGUUACUGCGAAGGGGGGACGGAGAAGGCUAUGUUGGCCGGGCGA
rnacentral:rRNA from 1 species